rnacentral:rRNA from 1 species
GACGAACCGUGCGAACGUUGUUCGGAAUCACUGGGCUUAAAGGGCGCGUAGGCGGGCUGACAAGUCUGGGGUGAAAUCCCACGGCUCAACCGUGGAACUGCCUUAGAUACUGUCGGCCUCGAGGAAGGUAGGGGCAUGCGGAACUAACGGUGGAGCGGUGAAAUGCGUAGAUAUCGCUUGGAACGCCAAAGGUGAAAACAGGUUGCUGGGGUUGUGCCGACGCUGAGACACGAAAGCCAGGGGAGCAAACGGG